AUACUCUGGUGUCUCUUCAAAUCAUAUAAAUCUUUCACCUUUUACUAAAGAUUUCUGUGGAGAGGAACAAUUCUGAGCUUAUGACCAAUGUUUUAAGUUCUUGAUCUGCAGGGCU